UGUUGUGUUGUCAUAAUGUUUUGUGUUUUGUCAUCUUGGAAGGUGGAAAUCUGGAAAUUAUAGAUGAAUAUUUAAAUUAAAUCGGGUAGUGCGGCAUAUGUACACUUUAAAAUGUCUGCACCUAAGUCCGAGUGUCUUAAAGACACAGUGACGGUGUUGAUAAACGCCGUAGGAGACAGUGAUAAUUCAGUUAACAAUGUUGUGAUCAAAUCAUUGACUAAAAUAGCGAACACUUAUCCCAAAGAAGUGAUUGAAAUUUUUUGCGAGUUUCACAAGAAUACCGCCAAGCCGAACGUUAUUCAACUUGGAAAUAUUGUCAAGGUUCUAGAACAAACAUGCGUGCACCAAGUAAAGAGGCUGGACUCGCAGACGGCAGCGGACCUAGUCAACUCCAUGCUCCGAGCGAUGAUGGAGAACCCCGGCUACGAGCCCUCCGUCCAGAUGGGGGCGUCAGACGUGCUGGUUGCCGUGGGGCAUGAGUAUUUGGAUCUGGUACUCCGUUCUCUGAUCAACCAGCUGUCCCCGGCGUCAGUGCCACACUACACAGUAGCGCACACGCUGGGCACGCUAGCCGCAGUCAACACGCAUGGGGUAGUGCCUCACAUCAAGGAAAUCCUCGGCAAAAUGUUGCCUCUGUUGUCCCUCGUCCGGCAGGACGGGGUCAAACAGGCUUUUGCUUAUGCAUUUGGACAUUUCGCCGUUGCAGUGUCAGAGCAAAUCGGCGAUAAUGUCCAGAAUGACAACAUAACGUCUAUAAAGGACAAUUUUGUCACGGAAUUCACAAUAAUCUUCGAUGUGUUGUACAACCAAUGGCUCCCGUCUCACGAGCCCAAGGUCGCAGAAUCGGUGCUUGAGGCACUAGGGCCUAUAACCAGGCUUAUAUCCGAAAGACAGUUUAACGAAACAGUCAACAAAUUCGUACUUUCACUACUGUCUUUGUAUCGCAAACCGAUGAUCAAUUUCUACUACAUCAGUCAGUGUAUAUCGUACUUGCUGUCUCCGUCACCGCUGAACCCAAAGUUGACUCUUAAUGAUAGCGUUAUAAACUCAAUAAAUCAUGUCUUGUUCAACUUGGUCUUAUUAGAGCCAGAUUAUGACCAACCACAAACGGUAAAGAACCAUUUUGAAGUACUCAGAUGCUUCGACCACAUGGCAGGACAGUUUUCUGAACAGACCAUUGAAAGCUUACUCCACCAGUGCAAAAACAAUCAAGAAAAAGAAAGAAUGAAGGCAGUGGUAGUUCUGACGCACCUUACAACGUCUUCUCAAGUUUUCAUCGAGAAAUAUGCCACCAAAUUCAUUGCUAUACUAAAAGUGAUGACGACUAUGGAACAAGGAUUAAAAAUGAAGAAGUUGCUCGUCAAAGCUAUCGUAGGACUGGUGUACAGAAACUGCAUAAUUACAGCGGAAGAUUUUACAAUGAUCGAGUUCAUAAUAAAGCAUUGCGGGUAUGAACCGCCAAAUUCUUCAAAACUAGAGGUCAGUGACCUUCAUGACACUUGCAGAAGUUCAUUAGUACUGAUGUGCAACACUGUCACAAGUGUCAGAACGCAACUGAGAAAUUUACUUCUGACUGCUUUGACUGUAGAAGACUUCGCGGCAUCCAUGUCCACAGUGAGUCAAUGCUUAACUUCCCUGCUACAAAACAAUUCUGACGUCAUCGCUGACGAUCCGUCAGAGAAAACAGUUGAAGUAAAAUGUUCACCAGACCUUGUCUUCGUUCGGUGCUUAACAUACCUCGCAGAGCCAACUCAAAUUGAAAGGAACAAAAACAUCUUAAUAUUCUUGGAAGAAUUCGCCGGAGAUAUCCAUAAAAACUUGAAGAAUUCUUGGACUGUUGAAAUUCAGAGACUGUUAAAGGUAGUAGAUGACAGUGAUUCGCACGAUCAGUGGCAUGGAAUGUUAUUGGACCUACUGGUCGCAGCUGUUGAGCAAGUGAAUAACAAUAAAUGGGUAGAGACUAUGUCUUCAUUACUUUCUCAGCAGAUUCUAUCAAAGAAACAACCUCCAAUGAUCAAAGGAGUUUCCUUGCAAUACUUAGCGAUACUUGCAUGCCACAUGUCUAAUGCUGCUAUUGUUGAAAAAGUCCUGAAGAUUAUAAUUCUUGCUCUCAAGUCUAUUCCUAUGGAAGGCUCAGAGUACGUAAGCAAAGCUGUCGGCAUCGCUUCUCGUCAACACGGAGAGUUUGUUAUGAACGAACUUGAUGCUAUUUAUAAAGAGAAUGAGGCUCGACGCGGCAGCAAACUGCUGAACUUCCUGUCGUCAAGACAGUCCAAAAGCGACAUUGAACUAGGCAUAGUUAAAUACGCCAUAAUCACUUGCUACGGAAAGGUUGCUGGGGAAUGCUUAGAUGUUCACGUAUUGGCACGAUUAGGGGAAAAUGUGACGGCGAUAUUAUUCGAAGUAUUGAAGUCUAAUCCUCCUUUUGACUUGUGCAAAGCCAGUGUGACCACUCUGUAUGAAAUUAGCAAAGCGUUGUAUCCGGCAGCACACCACAAUGUUGCACUAAGGAAUCGUUGGCAAUUACUAAAUGCCGUUUUAGAACAGAUAUACAACUCCAACUUAGAUAAACGCAACGUGGAAUUAUAUCCGAUAAUCGUAAAAGCUUCUAAAGCCCUCACUAAGUUGCAAAAAGGCAUUUUACCUGAAGAAAGAAAUACUAUCCUACGAGUUUUGUUUAACAGUAUCUUUGGAGAACUAUCGUCUUUCAAACGCAAGUAUGAAGUCGAAGGGAAUGGGGACGAAAACGAUAUUUUAGCAAAGACUUUGAACGACAGUUUGACCUUGCUUCAUCGUCUGAUUCGAGAGCUGAUUAUCCAAUCGACUUGCCUCAGCACUAUUGACGAUUUAGUCGGACUAUUGAUAGAAUGGAUUCGAAACGACAAUGAUGAAAUCAGAACCGCUUCAGUGUUGAUUCUGCAAGUGAUAUUCGAUACUUACAUUAAAAACGUCAAGCUUAACUACGAAACGCCAAGCAAAUUUGGCCAAAUGGGUUAUCUACUAGGUCUAGUGGUCCCUGGAGUAGCGGAUACUAACUUCGCUGUGCGUCUGACAUCAGUAGACUGUAUUAAACUGAUCAUUCAAAUCCAGGAUCUUUACGAAGGUCAUACGAUAGAACCGGACGACGAAUGUAUGGCAAACUUGGCAUAUUUGCAGAACAACAUACUGACAAAUGACGUGAACAUGAUUGCUGAUUACUGUAUGAACUUAUGCGACACUAUAUCGCCGAAGAUUCCUCAUCAUCACACGAUGCAGUUCAUAGAGAGUCUUCUAGAAUGUUAUGAUAGUCAGGAGUACAGGAGUAUCGGUACCAGUUCGGUUUUGGAUGCGUUUUUCGCGAAGAAAGGUCAGGAUUUGUACCAGAGCAUUGAGAGGAUAGUGGAAGUGAUGUUGUCGACGAUGGACGCGGUUGGAGAGGAGGCCAGUUUGCGGUUGAUGAAGCCUCUGACCUCAUUGACACGUCAUCACUCCAACGCUGUCACCGCUGUGCUGUUGGCGCAGAGGAUACCUUUGAGACCUAACGUGAUAACAUGCUGGCGAUCUCUGGCCAAGGACGAGUCGUUGUCGGAAGCCAUCGUGGACAACUUCCUGAGGUUAAUGAACUCCACUGAGCUAUAUGAGGACCCCUACCACAUCUCAGAGAACCACAUCGCCGCUCUCCAGCCUUUAACUCUUAUAAGCGCUUUAGGAGAGAUGCUGCAAGAGGAGACGAUGAAGCCGACCUGCGUGUCCAAAUUCUCCGACCUAUUCUCAGUGCUCUACACCACCCUGGCUUGCUACAUCGAAGCCGAGCCGCCAGCUUAUGCCGUGCCGCAGAACAGGGGCCAGGAGCGGUUCGGCUUCAUACCCAAUAGAGAGGCGAUAAAACUAUCCCCGGCCAAAAUUACAGUUAAUACAUUCAACGCUUUCUUGGAUCAGGCUGAGUGUCAUAAGGUAAAAGAAGCAUGCUCACUCUGUCUGAGCAUAGAACACGGGGACUCGUCAACAACACUGCUGGAGCUAGCUCCAAUAUUGAGCGGCGCGCUAUGCCGCUCGUGCCCGCAGUACCUGUCCCGCCUCGUGGCUCGUGUCGCCAGCUACGCGCGGUCGCCGCUGCCGCCGCAGAGGUGCGCCGCCGUCGCUCUGCUCGCUGAUAUGCUCAACUACAGGUGCAACGACAACGCAGUCCUGAUCGACACAGUGCUGACGACCCUCAACUCUGGUUGGAAGGACACGAGCCCCCGCGUCCGAGCCGUCAGCCUCCGAGGAGCUGCCAACGUGGCUCGCCUGAGGCCGGAGCACAGACAACAUGCUCUUCCAGCUGCCCUCGCCGCAACCAGCCAGGGACUAGAUGACCAGAACACACAGCAUCCCACAGACAACGUCCCGCUAGCCGCUAUCCAAGGUCUGAGCCGUCUUCUAACAGAACUAGAAACUAUCGAUAAAGAAUACGAACGCGAGCUCAUAGCUGUGGCACAGAAAAUCCGACCGUAUAUGAACACUGAUUGUAGCCAGCUUAGAGAGAACUCUAUCCGCCUAGUCGGUACUAUUGCGUCGAAGGUCCAGGCCGAAGCGUUGGUGGACCAGGCGGUCGCGUCUUUACCCUGUUUCCUGUUGCAUCUGUGUGAUAAUAAUCCAGCUGUUGUUCGGGCCAGCAAGUUCACUCUAAAACAAGUAUUCAAGACGUUCAACGUGCAGAAAUCAAACGACUUGGUACAAACACACCUGUUAGACGAAGGUCGCUUGUACCUGGACGAAUUCCUCACAGCUUUGUUAAAGCAAUUAGCUGAUGAAAUGCCCAGCAGCAUAGUGAAAUGUCUGCAGACUGCGGUCAACUACUUGCAUUGUGCUCGCGAGGAGUUGAAGCCUCACCCGCCUUUGUUGCUUGGUCUCCUAUACGCAGAACUGUAUCGCAUCCGGGAGAAACACCCGGAUGAGACGGACUUGGACCCUGACGUGACCCGCAGCGCGCGCAGCCGCUUGCUGCAGCUGAUAAAGGACCCUAAUCCAUCGGUGAGACAGAACACUGCGAUGGCGCUCGCUAACCUGUGCCUUGUAGAAGCCGUUGGUACAGCUCACGUAGCAAGUACACAACCAUGAUAUCAGGCGAUGCAUAGUAGACAUAGAAAGUGCUUUGUCGAAGUGAAAUAGUGUUUUGCAGGUUAAUUUCUGGUAGGGUACCGGUCGGUUAGUCCAUCGAUAGAUUAUGAUUAGAGAUACGCCGAUUGGUAUCAGGUAUUCGGCACUAAUUCAAAAUUCGAUAUUCGUUAUUCAGUUUCGGUGGUCGCAUAUGAAUAUAAUCUUCUUCUAUCGUGUGGGUUGUGGAGUGGAUUGCCGACCUCAUCAACACUGAUGUCAGGGUUAUUAUUGAGCCUAACAUGGCUCCUGUAACUACUACUAUACAAGGUGUUAGUGACGUCGUAACGAAUGCUGAGGGGGAUGACUCAGACCAUGAUUCUGAGUUGAUAUCAAGUGGAAUAUCCUGUCGGAAAAUUCAUGAAAAAUGUAGUGUUUUUUUUUUUCUGUGAACAUACUUUUGCGACGAAAAAUUCCACUUGAUAUCAACUCAGAAUCACGGUCUGAAUUGUCCCUCAAAGUUUUCGUUUCGAUGUCUCUAACACCCUGUAUAAUUAAUUAUAAUAAAAGUAACUUAUUUCAAGGAAUCAUUACAAUUUCAGAAUCUUUAAACACUAGAGUGGAUAGGUAUCUACUAAGUAAGCGUGUACCACCUUAGGCCACACCUUCACUUAUCACCAGAUGAGGUUGUGGUCAAACAUGAACCUAUUUUUAAUAAAAAGAACCGUGAUGUUUUCAGAAAAUCUACGCACUCUUUUAAGGUUUACCUUAAAUAUAGCGCGAAACCGAAUAGUUCAUUCGAAUAUUCAGUUCGGUAAUAGAUAAGCUGACUAAAAUUCGGUUAAGCUAUAAGGGUAUUCGGUUAAAUCACUAUUCGGCGCAUCUCUUAAUUAUAAUAAUUGACAGUUGAAGCAGAUAUCGAGUGUCGAUAAAUAAUAUUUUGUAAGUUAAUUUCUGGGGGGGUUAAAAAGACCACAUCGAAGCAAUUCAUCUAAGAAAGCAAUAUUGCAUUUUGACAUUUGCGCAUAUAAAAGUAAGUGCGCAAUGCAAACAAAUGUCAAAUAGCAAUAAUUCUUUCUUGGAUGGAUUGUUUCGAUGUGUGUGUUUUUAACCCCCGUGGUCGAUAGUCCAAUACUGAUAAUCAAGCUAAUAAAAAAGAAAAACAAUAGUAUCGACAUGUCUUUCCAUAGAAUUGACAAUGUUGUUAUACGCAACGAUAAAUACUGUUAACUUCGACCAAUAAACGCAGUGUAUGCUGUCUAUACAGGGUGUUAGUGACAUCGUAACAAAAACUUUGAUGAGCGAUUCAGACCACGAUUUUGAGUUGAUUUGAUAUCAAGUGGAAUUUUUCCCUCGCAAAAAUAUGGAACUGAAAAUAAUUUAAUAAAUCACUAAAAUAUGUAUUUUCUGAGAAGAAAUUCCACUUGAUAUUAACUCAGAAUCGUGGUCUGAAUCAUCCUCCUCAGGCACGAUGUCACUAACACCCUGUAUAGAUAGAAGUCAUACUUCUAUUAGUGUCAUAGAAUAAAGAAUAAUACUACGUAUGUAACGGUAACACUCCGCCCCGCGCGGAUUCGUAUCGGGCGUUGCCUCACCCCCUCUGGAUCUGGUCUUAAGUGGCCGUAAGCCGCUAAGGAGUUAGAAGGAGCGCGCUGACAUUCUGUCUCGCGUUAGGCGGCAUACGGUAAGAAUGAGAUUUUUGUAUGGAGUAUUCGAGGUGUGUUGUUGACAGCAUACGCCGCGUCUAUUUUUAGUCUUUGUUACCUAAAUGUAUGGAGAUUUUAAAACCAAAGUAUAAUGGUCAUAGAGGUUGAAGGACGCAUGAUAUUUUUUUUUUGGCCGGCACUUUUGUCUUUGGGCCCUAAAAUAUGAAGUUAUUUAGAUCUUAUGAGUAAAAACAUAUAUUUUUUUGAUAAGUUAUUGAUAUAAGGAAUGUGACUGCAUGUAUUUUUUUUUUCGCUUAUGACAGAAACUUACGCAUUUGAGUUUGAAGAAAUAAAAAAAUAGUAGUAUGAUUUAAUGUUAAGAGACUGAAUUAAAGAAAAAAAAUAUGUGCUAAUGCUAAAUACUUAGGUUAAGUGUUAUUCUGUUUUUAAAACAAAAUAAGAGAUAAUUAUAAAACAUUGUAAUAAUCAGUACAUAAUUAUAAAGAAAUAGGUACUAUGUUAUACCAAAAUUUCGAAUCCCACACAUCGUCCGACUUAUCAUUAGACACCUAGUUUUACGACGCCAUUACUUUGAAAAAUGUAGGCAUAAAAUAUGCUUUGGAAUGAACAAUUAUAUACUCUCUUUAAUGUACAUUGUUUUAUAGUCACCUCUCAUAUUAGACCCUGAGAGACAUUGAACGCGGACUCCGACCAAUAUGCGUAGCGUAUUUUGUCUUCGUAGAUAAACCUCGUACCCUUAUUGGUUGAAUCUCGCGAUAAUCUCACGUGUCACGCGUCGGUUACUAUGAAUUCAAGAGUACAUAGGUAUCUAAUGGUUAGCUGAUCGAUGUUUUAUAAAAAUAUAAUCGCAUUUUCUAGUUCUUAAGCGUUAUACCUUCGAUAGCAUAUAAACUGUUAAAUUUCUACACGAUUUUGAACCUUACUACGUAUAAAAUAUAACAUGCUGUUACUUUUUGUGUGCUAUUGGUAAUUUAACAUAAGGAUUUGAUGAAAUUGUUAUUAAAAAUAAAUGUUACAUAAAAAUUAUUGAAAUGUAGUCGUUGUUCACUAUGUGAUAUGAUAAUUGAUAAUUAUUAAAAUGAGAUAUAUUCCUUAUUAGUGUGUUUGUGCAGUAAAUCCGAUCCGAAACCGUAAAAUGACGGUUUCGAGGUGGUCGUAGAACUAUUUGUAUGGUAACAUACGCACUACAUCCGAUAUCCGUCAAACGAUAAUCAUGAAUUCCUUAUAACAGUUACAAACGGAUAAAAUAAACACAAUAGGCGGCCUUAUUGCUAAACAGUAUUUUUUCCCAGGAAACCUUAGGGUGAAAAAACUCAAUGUAUUCGAGCGUAGGAUGGUGCAAUACAAAAAAUGUAGAAAAAAGAAAUAUAAACAUUUAAACAAAGGUGUUAAUUUUGGUAGACACCAUCUAAUUUUAUUUCAAGUUAUACCUGUCAUUUUCUUAUCCGCCGAAAAGGAAAGGAACAGGUAAUCGACAGGCAUAAAAUUUAUGGAACACACGUCAAUUUUAGGCAGAAAUUUAAAAAACCCUUCCAAAAUUGUAUAUUGGCCAAUAACCCCACAGAAUUAAGUUGACAGCACAUGUCAAACGAAUUGCAUAAGAGCGAGAUGCCUAUUUUAUUCGGUCGGGUUAUUCUUUCAUUUUAAAAUUAACAGUAGUCAAUCAUCCGUCCCUUUCCUUUUCGACGGAUAAGAAAAUGAGAGGUAUAACUUAAAAUAAAAUUAGAUGAUGUUUACAGGCAUCAGUACCAGUCAUUAAGUUAUUAAUUACGAACUAAUUUUGAACCAGCCGAAGUGUGUUUAUAACUAGAUAUGUCGUCUGUACCAUCUAGUAACCCUCAACUACAAUGCCAGUCGUGCGGCCGCUACUGUCGCUCUCGCAUUGGACUUUACAGCCAUUUUAAAAGCUGCCACAGAAACGCUGUUUGAAUCAUCUGAUAAAGAUGUAAAGGCCUGAGAUGAUGUCGUCAGAAUUACGUGUACAUCUGCCCACAUUGAAUAACAGGUGUGUCAUCUGCAAGUAUUGCUCUUGUGCGACAAAUUCUGAACUGUUGAGUAGGUCAUUUAUGUAAAAUAAGCUCAUGUCGAUACCCCAGUUGGGGUAGGUGGAGGUACAGUCAUGAGCAAUAUAAUGUACCCACUUUAGGACUCUGUCGCACUAACAUAUUUGACAUUUAAGCACAUAAUAACGGGUUCUUACCGCGUUUAAAUGGGGAUAUGAGACUCCCG
rnacentral:misc_RNA from 1 species